UUAUGUCCAUAUGUUUGCAUCUAUUCACUUACUAUUAAACCAUAUUAUUAAGGAAUUAGUAAACUAAACGAUUGCUAUAAUAAUUAUGACAAUUUUGUUUAAUUAUUAAAAUUAUUAUUCUUUUUUUUGAUUAAUUUUA
rnacentral:ncRNA from 1 species